AGAAUCUUCAUAUUCCUUAAAAGAGAAAUUCAUAAUCAAGAUCAUCAAGGAUAAUAUCAAGGUGAUUUAAUGGAGGUCAACAGUGACCAAAUUUAUAAAUAUCUGGCAAAGAUCGGAUUGGAAUCCAAUCCACUGCAUGAAUAUCAAAGCAAUUUCAGGUUUUCUUGAAAAAUCAUCUUAGAUUCAUAGUGGGGUUUCUAGGUCAGUUAGAGAGAGAAAAGG
rnacentral:lncRNA from 1 species